rnacentral:rRNA from 1 species
CGUGCCUAACACAUGCAAGUCGAACGCGAAAGGGGCUUCGGCUCUGAGUAGAGUGGCGAACGGGUGAGUAACACGUGGGUGACCUACCUUCGAAUGGGGGAUAACGUCCCGAAAGGGACGCUAAUACCGCAUAACAUCCUGUCCUUGAAGAGACGGAGAUCAAAGCUGGGGAUCGUAAGACCUGGCGUUUGAAGAGGGGCCCGCGUCCGAUUAGCUAGUUGGUGAGGUAACGGCUCACCAAGGCGACGAUCGGUAGCCGGCCUGAGAGGGCGGACGGCCACACUGGGACUGAGACACGGCCCAGACUUCUACGGGAGGCAGCAGUGGGGAAUUGUUCGCAAUGGGCGCAAGCCUGACGACGCAACGCCGCGUGGAGGAUGAAGGUCUUCGGAUUGUAAACUCCUGUUGCCCGGGACGAAACGCUCUGACCUAACACGUCGGAGCUUGACGGUACCGGGUGAGGAAGCCCCGGCUAACUCUGUGCCAGCAGCCGCGGUAAUACAGA